CAGUAGCGUAUUCUAAUAUUGUUGUAGUUAAAACGCUCGUAGUUCACUUAAGAGAGUUUUAUACGGUUUAGUAUGUUUUUUGCCCUAGUUUUCGGGAUAUGCAGUAAACGAUUUUGGAAAGUAGAAAGACUCUUUGAGACUUUUUUGGUAAUGAUAUACCUCGUUUUUCAUUGAAGGACCAACUUUCAAGUUGGAAAUGAGAUGAGAAUUGGAUCGUAAUGAGACUCUUGAUAAAAAUUUAUUUAAAUUUUUCGACUUGGCCAACUGUGAGUAAAUUAGAGUGCUCAAUACAAGCUUUUUGCUUGAAUAUUUUAGCAUGGUAUUGGAAUUCGUUGUGUAAAAACAACAAAGGAAUGGGAAUUAGGUAGAAGGCUCGAGUAUUGUAUUGUUAGAGGUGAAAUUCAGAGAUCAAUACAAGACUAUCGGAUGCGAAAGCUGUAAGUCUAUUACCUUUNCGCCG
rnacentral:rRNA from 1 species